UCGAGAAUCUUCCGCAAUGGACGAAAGUCUGACGGAGCGACGCCGCGUGAUGGAUGAAGUCCCUCUGGGACGUAAACAUCUUUUAUGAGGGAGAAAGUUUAUUGAUAGUACCUCACGAAUAAGGGGUUGCUAAACUCGUGCCAGCAGCAGUGGUAAUACGAGUGCCCCGAGCGUUAUCCGGAAUCAUUGGGCGUAAAGGGUGUGUAGGUGGCAUUGUUAGUCACACGUUAAACCCUGGGGCUUAACCCCAGAUCUGCGUGUGAUACGGCAAAGCUAGAGGAUGGCAGGGAUGUAUGGAACUCAUGGAGUAGGGGUGAAAUCCGUUGAUAUCAUGGGGAACACCGAAAGCGAAGGCAGUACAUUGGGCCACUCCUGACACUGAAACACGAAAGCGUGGGUAGCAAAUGGGAUUAGAUACCCCAGUAGUCCCUGAGCGGGCUGGCAAGGCGCAU
rnacentral:rRNA from 1 species